UACGUAGGGACCAAGCGUUGUUCGGAUUUACUGGGCGUAAAGGGCGCGUAGGCGGGCAUUCAAGUCCGUGGUGAAAUCCGGCAGCUCAACUGUCGAACUGCCGCGGAUACUGGGUGUCUCGAGGGAGGUAGGGGCGUGCGGAACUAUUGGUGGAGCGGUGAAUGCGUUGAUAUCAAUAGGAACUCCGGUGGCGAAGGCGGUCUGCUGGGCCGUUGCUGACGCUGAGGCGCGACAGCGUGGGAGCAAACAGG
rnacentral:rRNA from 1 species